rnacentral:rRNA from 1 species
AGUGAACGCUGGCGGUAGGCCUAACACAUGCAAGUCGAACGGCAGCACAGUAAGAGCUUGCUCUUACGGGUGGCGAGUGGCGGACGGGUGAGGAAUACAUCGGAAUCUACUUUUUCGUGGGGGAUAACGUAGGGAAACUUACGCUAAUACCGCAUACGACCUACGGGUGAAAGCAGUGGAUCUUCGGACCUUGCGCGAUUGAAUGAGCCGAUGUCGGAUUAGCUAGUUGGCGGGGUAAAGGCCCACCAAGGCGACGAUCCGGAGCUGGACUGAGAGGAUGAUCCGCCACACUGGAACUGAGACACGGUCCAAACUCCUAAGGGAGGCAGCAGUGGGGAAUAUUGGACAAUGGGCGCAAGCCUGAUCCAACCAUACCGCGUGGGUUAAGAAGGCCUUCGGGUUGUAAAACCCUUUUGUUGGGAAAGAAAAGCAGCAGGUUAAUACCCCGCUGUUCUGACGGUACCCAAAGAAUAAGCACCGGCUAACUUCGUG